GGCCGCAUGCGAAAAUCGAUUUUCCCAUGCGGCUUCCUAAGUGGACCGCAUGCGAAGAUCGAUUUUCCCAUGCGGUU
rnacentral:pre_miRNA from 11 species